rnacentral:lncRNA from 1 species
UUUUGUAUUCUCCUGGGAUAUGGUUAAAGGGUUAAUUUAACGCUUGACCCAUUAAAACCGUUGAGUGCAGUGAGAACCUUGUAAGGCUGAUCAGAUGAUUAUUUCUGGAAGAUAAGUGGUUGAAAACCGAGCCUCACUAGUUCAGGUAAUCAAGGGAAAUCGGCAUAAAAGAGAAGAUGCGGCUGAGUAACGACAGAACGGCUACCUGAGAUUCUAUUACUUGUCGUCUUUCAAGCAUAAUAAUGAGAUUAUAGUAACCCUAAACUGGCUGAAAACAGAAAUCUGGCUGUCUGUCAAGUUCAUUGUGUUGAGUUUUACAACACUCCAGAUCUGGUUCCUCUGAAUCUACAAUAAUUAUACCAGGAAGACAGGCUCAAAGAAAACCCUUUCAACCUUGGAUCUUUGUCAGGUUUUGGCUUAUGACCAGAGUACCAUUGUUUAUAUCAUGGGAAAGAAGAAAAAAAAAAGGGGAGGAAAUAACAAAAAACAUUGUUAACGUUUAUUAUUAUUUUUUCAUCAUGCAAUUCUUAAAGAAAUAUUGCCACAAGUCUUUCCUCACUCCAGCUGUCACACUGCCUUGUGAAUUUCUGAAUGAACUUGUUACUGAACCACAAGCCUCUUGGCUUCUCUGUUAUUACUCUAGACAGAGCCUUUUGCUGUAAAUAUUUUCACACCUUUAAUUGACACACACCUUCACAUCACACACGUGGGGUAGUGCUCCUACUUGUUAAAAAAAUGCGAAAUUACACAAGAUACAGAAACAAGGGGUCCAUAACAGUAACCUCAAGUAUACAUGUGUUUUUAGCCUGGACUCAUCUCAAACUCAGGUUGUUUUGGUGCAGAGAGAGUAGUCUAAAGCAUUGGAUGGUGAGAUCCUCUUCUGAGACUGUUUUGGUACAGCAGCUGUAAGGUUGCAGUUCAGGAAGGCUUUUUGGCACAUUUGAAGUCCAGCUGGCUUCAGCUCUGUCAGGCACAUCACUCCUCCUGCUUACUGGGAGCCUCUACCUGCCCUUUCUUCUGUCUUGAUUCACACUUACAUACAUGCUUUUCCAGGUUGAUGUAGGCUUCGGCUGCUAGUAUGAAGAGAUGUUUGUAUCCAUGCCUCACUUCAGACUUUGCUCUUCCAGCUCCAGCCUCCUCUCAACAUAUCAGCUCAAGGGGCAGCCUUAUUAUUAAUAUUUUUUGGUUUUGUUUUUGGGCUUGGUUUUUUUCUCCCUCUGCUCUAGCCUAGCUCACACCUUCCUCCGACCGAGCCCGGCCUCUCCUGCUCGCCCCUCGCCCAGCCGCAGCUCUCAGGCGGCUGUGCCCAAGCCACGAGUGCCCGGCGACAC